GACAGCUGCAAAGAGAGGGGUAUAAAAAUAUUAAUAUGAUAUUAUCUGUGAAGAGUGGAAGCUUUAUGAAUCUGCUUUUCUUGACAACGAAGAAUAGUGCAUUUAAGUAAAAUAAGUAAUAGAUGAUAACAAUUUGAAACGAGGCCAUUCACAAAAUUGCUUCUUGUAUAUGGAUAUUUCCGUUCGUUGUUCUUUAAAUUUGUUCAAUUUCGCUAUCCACUUGCUAACACAUUCUACCAUGAGGUCAGAAUGGAACCUGAGUUACUAGCUAAACUCGACGACAGUCUGCCAGAUGUGACCGCUUGCCGUCGACGGCAUUCCAAAAGCUCUGGAGUUUUUGUAAGUUCGCGAUUUGUGUGGUCGUUUUUGAACUUCUAUCCGCGGCACAUACAGCCGCACCCAUCACCCGCACACCUAAGCACUCAUCCCGGAGCGGUUUGGAGAGAAGUUCGCUUUGUUCUAAAUGAUAAAUGAUGGCGCGCUGGAAAGCAGACUUGUGGAGUUCGCAAAAUGAAGCUGAAUUGUGAAUAAAGUGAAAUUGAUAGACUUUGUCGUUGCCGAUGGAGGGCCUUAAGAUGAUACCCACGUAUGGGACAUAUACGUGCGAUCCCAAUAUGGCUUAAAUAAAGUAUCAACUUCGUAUUGAUUGAGGUACAGAAAAUAACUAAGCCAACAAUAGAGAGGAUCUGACCUGAAAUGUAUUAAAGAUAACUGGGUGAAUACCGGCGCUUUUCUUGGUGGCUUCAUUGUUACUCUCAUAUCUCUAUAUUUGAUUUUGGAUUCUUGGUGAUGUUUGCAAAUCUAGUUUAUGAUUUAAUAAAUAUGCACUUAUGUGUAUAACUGGAGGACCGACAAAGGACAAUAUUAAGUGCAUAAUUACAAAGACCAACAUAAGCGGGGGCUAAUACGUGGUGUUUUGCGCAGAAUUCACAUGCAUUAUGGGAAUGACACUCUGUAUGCAAUUGCCGGCGGUGUAUCUGUAUGUCUGUGGGGCUGAAUUGCAUUGACCCCCACUUCCACCUCUUACAUAUCGAAAGGACAUUAACCCGCCGCUGCUGCUGCUAUGCAAAUCCAUUCGGUUAUGAUUUCAGCGCAGUCACGUCGUCUACUCACCGCCUCCUCCAUGCACGCCACAGGCACAUGUCCCGUUAAACCCAAGCAAUUGCGAAUUCUGGCAGCUACAUAUUUACUUUGCGUAUGCCGAUGAGUUUCUGAUGCAGCACGUGGCCUGGCGCAAAAUCGCGUGGAGACAGGGGCUGCGCAGAGUCGCUUGGAGUGACGAUGGCGGGAGAUACAUGGGCUGCGCAUACUGCAAGCACUUCACGAUGAGUUGCUGACUACAAAUGAUAAGGAAGCCAUUUAGACAGCCUGGCUGACAGCCAAAGAGAUUGGUUGCUGUAACUACUUAGUUGGGUAUGACGCCUGGUGCUGUAUUAGUAAUUUUUCUACCGAGUUGACAAAGCUACUGCAGAAUGCAGGUAAAUGAAGAUGACGUACAUGAACGAUCACCACAAUAUUAUGAGAGAGCUGUGAAGAUUACACUUCAUCACUGCUGUGCCAUUGGUGGUGCAAAAUAUGGAGAUGUUGUCAGAGAAUGGACUAUGAGCGCUAAAGAUAACGCCAUAGGGAACUUCGAGACUCACAAGAAAGUUCACUGUUUACAUACACCUAUUCAAAUGACCACUUCAACGGUUUAAUACAGUGUAGUGCUUAGUAUUUGUAAGGGGCACACAUUUCAUGUUCGUCGAGUGUCCCCCUCCCACACUGAACCGGCUGCUUUGGCCUGAGGAUGUGUUGAAUUCAGAAAUGAGGUCAAGGAUAUCAUCCUUUGCGGCAGCUUCCACUGCACUGCCCACUCGUCGAUGAGCACCAGUGCACUUACCUCCCGCAAUCGGAUACAAAUUUCAAAUUGUAUAUAGUGACUGCUGAGAAGCAACGGGAGCUCACAGUUUACAGCAGCCCACAAGGCUGGGAGCUCUACGAGAAAGAUUCGCGUGCGUGUGUGAGCGACCACUUAAUCACUCUUUCCACAUGUACUCCAUUGAAAAUGAUGAUAUUGAAUAAAUAUUAAAAAGACUAACACUGACACUUUUGUAUUGAUGCGUUGAGUUGGCGGUCUAUUCAGGCAUCCAGUGAUGGGCGCCAUUGAGUUUUAAUGAGAGUUAUAAGUGUAAAAAAGAAAAGGAAACGGAUUCAAGCUCCCACAAGAAAGACAUGGAAUGGGGCGCAAUGUGAUGUGGUCGCUUUUGAAGCGCUAUUAAAACCAUAAAAGAGCGAAUAUUUGCAAGGUAUUUUACACACAGCAUACUAAGGACAAGUGAAAAUCAAUCAAACAAAUUACACAAAAAAAAUAUUCUGCUUACGGAUAUCAAAGAGACGGGUGAGGUCUUUAUGGUCCCAUGUGUGCUAUAUGUUUGAAUAAUUAUAAUAUGCAAAGGAAAAAGUUAUGAUAAAUUGAAGAUAAUGAUGAAAAUGCAAUGAUGCACUCACACAGUCAAAUGUGUUAAAGGGAAACUCAUUUAAAGAAAUCUCUUAUUGCUCCAGUAUAAAAAUAAAAUUUACAGAUUGUGUUUAAAAAUUAUCUACAUUAUUAUUACGAAAGCGCUUGCAUUAUCUCAAUCAAUACAGUUGUUGUGUUUGUUUUGUUGCCACGAAAUAUAAAGGUUUCUACUUUUGACGUUGGUAAGAAGACCCAAAGGCGAAAGUUUGUAGCAUUAGUGUGCAUUCGACAUUCGUACAACAACAUCAAAAUAUGACCGAUUGUCAAAAGACAGCUUAUUAGAGCCAGCUUGUUUAACUCACGUGUCGUGGGCUUAUACAUCUAGACCCAGAGCUGCCUGUUCAUGGCAGAGUCUAUGGGUAUUUACUGUACUUCGGCUAAAUCUCUGGAGCAUAAAUUGAAACUGAAUUCCAUAAAUUCAACUUUCCAUUAUUAAAUAUACAUGCAAGUAGUGUAGAAUGUUAGUGUGCAUGCCUUAGCAUUGCAUGGAUUAGAGAAAGAAGGACAUGUCGGCUCAUUCAAUGUUUAUGAGCCAAGUGAGAUAUUACUCAUACGCAAUGUCGUACAAAUGCAUUUCUACUCUGCGAAGCAAAUCAUCUUCUGUCGAGGACAUGAGUGCGCUAUUUGAGUGUGUUGGUGCAUUACAUUAAGCAAUUAAUACUGUUGUUAUUCAUUUGAUGUCUUCGUUUGUGUGUUUCUGUGUGUGCAAGCAAGUGAUGCCGAGUGGCACUUGUCAAUUCUUGCAGUACGUACUGAUACAUUGUCAUGCUCCAGACU